rnacentral:rRNA from 1 species
GGGCGUAAGAGCUCGUAGGCGGCUUGUUGCGUCGGCUGUGAAAACCUGGGGCUCAACCCCGGGCCUGCAGCCGAUACGGGCAAGCUAGAGUUCGGUAGGGGAGACUGGAAUUCCUGGUGUAGCGGUGAAAUGCGCAGAUAUCAGGAGGAACACCGGUGGCGAAGGCGGGUCUCUGGGCCGAUACUGACGCUGAGGAGCGAAAGCGUGGGGAGCGAACAGGAUUAGAUACCCUGGUAGUCCACGCCGUAAACGUUGGGCGCUAGGUGUGGGCCACAUUCCACGUGGUCUGUGCCGCAGCUAACGCAUUAAGCGCCCCGCCUGGGGAGUACGGCCGCAAGGCUAAGACUCAAAGGAAUUGACGGGGGCCCGCACAAGCGGCGGAGCAUGUGGCUUAAUUCGAUGCAACGCGAAGAACCUUACCUGGGCUUGACAUGCAGGGAAAUCCCGUAGAGAUACGGGGUCCGUAAGGGCCUUGCACAGGUGGUGCAUGGCUGUCGUCAGCUCGUGUCGUGAGAUGUUGGGUUAAGUCCCGCAACGAGCGCAACCCUCGUCCUAUGUUGCCAGCGAGUAAUGUCGGGGACUCAUAGGAGACUGCCGGGGUCAACUCGGAGGAAGGUGGGGAUGACGUCAAGUCAUCAUGCCCCUUAUGUCCAGGGCUGCACACAUGCUACAAUGGCCGGUACAAAGAGCUGCGAUACCGCAAGGUGGAGCGAAUCUCAUAAAGCCGGUCUCAGUUCGGAUUGGGGUCUGCAACUCGACCCCAUGAAGUCGGAGUCGCUAGUAAUCGCAGAUCAGCAACG